CGAACGAUACUCUUUAGCUUGCUAUAGAGGAAAGUGGCGCACGGGUGCGUAACGCGUAUGCAACCUACCUUAAUCAGGGGGAUAGCCCGAAGAAAUUCGGAUUAACACCGCAUAAAAACACAGGAUAGCAUUAUCCAAUGUUCAAAUAUUUAUAGGAUUAAGAUGGGCAUGCGUGUCAUUAGCUAGUUGGCGGGGUAACGGCCCACCAAGGCGACGAUGACUAGGGGAUCUGAGAGGAUGACCCCCCACACUGGUACUGAGACACGGACCAGACUCCUACGGGAGGCAGCAGUAAGGAAUAUUGGUCAAUGGAGGCAACUCUGAACCAGCCAUGCCGCGUGCAGGAAGACAGCCCUCUGGGUCGUAAACUGCUUUUAUUCGGGAAUAAACCUAUUUACGUGUAAAUAGCUGAAUGUACCGAAGGAAUAAGGAUCGGCUAACUCCGUGCCAGCAGCCGCGGUAAUACGGAGGAUCCAAGCGUUAUCCGGAUUUAUUGGGUUUAAAGGGUGCGUAGGCGGCUUAUUAAGUCAGGGGUGAAAGACGGUGGCUCAACCAUCGCAGUGCCCUUGAUACUGAUGAGCUUGAAUACACUAGAGGUAGGCGGAAUGUGACAAGUAGCGGUGAAAUGCAUAGAUAUGUCACAGAACACCGAUUGCGAAGGCAGCUUACUAUGGUGUGAUUGACGCUGAGGCACGAAAGCGUGGGGAUCAAACAGGAUUAGAUACCCUGGUAGUCCACGCCCUAAACGAUGAAUACUCGCUGUUAGCGAUAUACAGUUAGCGGCUAAGCGAAAGCGUUAAGUAUUCCACCUGGGGAGUACGCCCGCAAGGGUGAAACUCAAAGGAAUUGACGGGGGCCCGCACAAGCGGAGGAGCAUGUGGUUUAAUUCGAUGAUACGCGAGGAACCUUACCCGGGCUUGAAAGUUAGUGAAUUAUCUAGAGAUAGAUAAGUGAGCAAUCACACGAAACUAGGUGCUGCAUGGCUGUCGUCAGCUCGUGCC
rnacentral:rRNA from 1 species